AUUGAACGCUGGCGGCAUGCCUUACACAUGCAAGUCGAACGGCAGCGGACCUUCGGGUGCCGGCGAGUGGCGAACGGGUGAGUAAUGCAUCGGAACGUACCUUUCAGUGGGGGAUAACGUAGCGAAAGUUACGCUAAUACCGCAUAUUCUGUGAGCAAGAAAGCAGGGGAUCGCAAGACCUUGCGCUGAUUGAGCGGCCGAUGUCAGAUUAGCUAGUUGGUGAGGUAAAGGCGCACCAAGGCGACGAUCUGUAGCGGGUCUGAGAGGAUGAUCCGCCACACUGGGACUGAGACACGGCCCAGACUCCUACAGGAGGCAGCAGUGGGGAAUUUUGGACAAUGGGGGCAACCCUGAUCCAGCCAUGCCGCGUGAGUGAAGAAGGCCUUCGGGUUGUAAAGCUCUUUCGGCCGGGAAGAAAUCGCACAGGCUAAUACCUUGUGUGGAUGACGGUACCGGAAUAAGAAGCACCGGCUAACUACGUGCCAGCCGCCGCAGUAACAC
rnacentral:rRNA from 1 species